UAUCUUUUUCUUCUUCUAUUCCUUCUUCUUCUAUCCCUUCUUCUUCUUCUUCUAAACAAACAAAAGAAGGAAAGAAAAGUGAAGUAGAAGAAGCAUUGAAAGU
rnacentral:ribozyme from 13 species